AAGCGAGUCUGAAUAGGGCGCAUGAGUACGUGGUCGUAGACCCGAAACCAGGUGAUCUACCCAUGUCCAGGGUGAAGUUCAGGUAACACUGAAUGGAGGCCCGAACCCACGCACGUUGAAAAGUGCGGGGAUGAGGUGUGGGUAGGGGUGAAAUGCCAAUCGAACCUGGAGAUAGCUGGUUCUCUCCGAAAUAGCUUUAGGGCUAGCCUCAAGGUAAGAGUCUUGGAGGUAGAGCACUGAUUGGACUAGGG
rnacentral:rRNA from 1 species